CAUUUUCCGUGUGUAAUGGAAAUGCACGACGUGACCAGCGCCUAAACCCCACAAUUUUUCCACUUCUAAAAUCUCCGGCGAGCUCUGCCUUCCGCUGCUUCUUCCUCCGCAAGCCACCGCGCAACCGCCUGCCAUGAUGGGGAGCAGGGUGGCCGCGUCGCUGCUCCGCCGGGGCAGGGACCAGGCAUCCGCCCUGAUGACGUUCCCUCGCCUCCCGAGGAGCGCUCCAGCUCCGCCCCCCGCUCCUCCUAGGGUUGGAUCCUGCGGCGGCGGCGGCGGCGGCCGUCACCUCCCCCCGCCGCCACCCCCGCAAUCGACUGGUGGCUUAUUCGCCGCCUCCCGAGUUGCCUCGUACCACGCCUUCCGCUCUUUCGGCCCCAAGAGUUUUAUGGGCCAAUGCACACGGAAAAUGUCUACUACUGCAGCUGCUCUGAAUUCAAAUAUGGCAAACGCAACAGCAAAUUCAGGACUGAAGCUGCUAGUUACCAAAGGGCCUCAAGCACAGAAGGCAGUUGGUAUAUGGCUCUUUGGAUGUGCUGCCUGGGUAUUCAGCAUGGUCAUACUUGGUGGAGUCACUCGGCUCACACGUUCGGGGCUGUCAAUGACUGACUGGAAGUUCGCUGGGGGCUUGCCUCCAAUGUCGGAAGAAGAGUGGCUACUGGAAUUUCAGAAAUACAAGCAGUCACCUGAGUACACGAGGGUGAACAAAGGAAUGAACCUUGAAGAUUUCAAAUUUAUAUACUGGAUGGAGUAUGCACACAGAAUGUGGGGAAGAGCUUUGGGCUUUGUGUUUGCUGUUCCUUUUGCAUACUUUGUUGCAAAAGGCUACGUUACCCGCCAACUUGGCGUCAGGCUCUCUGCUCUUUUUGCACUUGGCGGUGCACAAGGACUGAUUGGCUGGUGGAUGGUGAAAAGUGGUCUUGAGGAACCAGCAUCUGAGUAUGUUGAACCAAGAGUUAGCCCAUACAGGCUGGCAGCUCAUCUGACCUCUGCAUUUGUUAUAUAUUGUGGUAUAUUGUGGACUGCUCUGUCAGUAGUAAUGCCAGACCCUCCGGCUGAAUCAAUGAAAUGGGUAAAAGGGGCAGCAAAAUUUAGAAAGCUGGCAAUUCCUGCCAGUGCUGUUGUAGGCAUUACUGCCAUAUCUGGAGCAUUCGUUGCAGGGAAUGAUGCAGGGCGUGCAUACAAUACAUUUCCGAAGAUGGGUGACAGUUGGAUUCCAGAAGAUGUGUUCAGUAUGGAGCCUUUUAUUCAUAAUUUCUUUGAAAAUACAUCUACUGUGCAGCUUAAUCACCGAAUUCUUGCUACAAGCACCUUAUUGUCUGUGAGUGCCCUAUGGCUGGCUGCAAGGAAAGUAGAUAUGCAUCCAGCGGUCAAGUCUCUGGUUGGAAGCACACUUGGGAUGGCUGCUCUUCAGGUUACAUUGGGAAUAUCUACACUUUUGAUGUAUGUUCCUACGUCAUUAGGCUCAGCUCACCAAGCCGGGGCAUUGACACUGCUGUCACUGAUGAUCCUUCUCACUCACACAUUAAGAAGACCAUCACCAGCUCUCUUGAAGUCACUUGCAUCUGCUGUGAAAUCAACCUGAUACCACGCCAUGAAUCAGUCACCAGCUUAUUUGGUAUUUUUUGCCCUUCUAACUUGCACUGGCCCCCUUGUUUCUUUGGUUGCUAAAGUAUUUGUAAAAAAAAAAUCGAUUCUUGGGUAAGGCUGCUUCAUAGUUUUCUGGCGCCAAUAUUACAAACCCUUCUGAAAGUUCCUUUGAUACUCCCUCUACCGAAAUACAUGUCGCUGGAGUAGCUGAGGGAGUAUAUCACAAUUUUGCAUGCAGUAUCUCAUUCUGGGGGUGCUGUCCAAAAGUGUGUGCUCCGAUAGAUCUUGUCUGCCAGAACUUUGUAUGUACCAAAAGGCUGCCAAGGUUUGGUUCAUCUAUAGUAUGCUCAUGUGAGAUUGUUAUGUUUUGAUCAACGGUAUGGCCUGUACGUUUUCAUGCACCUGAAAGUGUGCAUUCUGCAUGUGUGGAUGUACCCCAUCGUUUUACUUAGAUGCAGUGACAGAUGACACUUUUAUG
rnacentral:rRNA from 1 species